rnacentral:rRNA from 1 species
GACGGGGGGGUCCUAGCGUUGUUCGGAAUCAUUGGGCGUAAAGCGGGCGUAGGUGGCUAUGUAAGUCAGGAGUGAAAGCCCUGGGCUCAACCCAGGAAGUGCUUUUGAACUGCGUAGCUUGAGUGUGGAAGAGGAUAGUGGAAUUCCUGGUGUAGUGGUGAAAUACGUAGAUAUCAGGAGGAACACCGGCGGCGAAGGCGGCCAACUGGACGAACACUGACGCGAGACUCGAAAGCGUGGGGAGCAAACAGG